ensembl:lncRNA
AUGCAGGACAAAGUAGAAGAACCUGGAGAGGAAAAUAAACAAGCUAAAGAGACAGAGAAAGAUGUCCCCAAACCAGAUCUGUCAGAAAAGCAAGAAAUGCCAGAGGGAUCAAAAACUAGAGAAAAAGAAAAACCAUCUCAGGAACUGCAAGAUCCUGAAGCAACACCUCAAGGAAACACUAAGCCUGGUGGACAGACUACUGAGAUAACUUCUCCAAAAACUGAAGAUGCUGAAGUUUCAUCUCAAGAAUCUACAACUGCAAAAUCAGCAGAGAAAGAGAAAGAAUCAGCUCCAGUGAAACCUGUAGAGGAAGAUACUCCCAAACCAGAUAAACGAGCAUCUUCCGAACAUGCUGAGAGUGGAAAACAGACUACAGGAGAGGAUGCAAAGGAGGACGCUUCUGCAAAAAAAGACAAAUCUGAUAGUAUGAAGGAAGAAACUAAGAAAUCUGAGCAUAUGGAAAAAGAGCAAGAGGAUAACAAACUAACAGAGAAACCUGUGGGGGAAAAGCAAGAGGAUGUGUCAGGUAAAGACGAAAAGCAACAGAAACCUGAGGAGUCUGUAAAAGAUAGCAAAGCUGAACUGGCAGACAAUGUGAAAACAGGAAAAGGUGAAAAUAGUAAGGCUAAAGAACCAGAAAAGACACAAAAAGAGAUUUCAAAGGAUGCCGAAGAACAAUCACAACCGGAAAUGUCAAAGAAACAGGAGGACAGCAAAAGCAGUAGUGAUCUAGAAUGUGUGACAAUUGAAAAGGGUGAAGCUGGUAAUCUGAAAGAAACCGAAAAGACACAAGAAGACCUUUCCAAAGUUGCUGAAGAAAAACCACAACCUCAAAAGCCACAAAUACAAGAGGACAGCAAAAGUGCAGACAGCAUCAAAACAGAAGAGACUGAACAUGCUAAGCCUAAAGAAGCAGAAAAGACACAAGAAGUUUCAAAAGAAGAAAAAUCACAACCCCAAAAGUCACAAAUACAAGAGGACAGCAAAAGUGCAGACAGCAUCAAAACAAACGAGACUGAACAUGCUAAGCCUAAAGAAGCAGAAAAGACACAAGAACUUUCCAAAGAAGAAAAAUCACAACCCCAAAAGCCACAAAAACAAGAGGACAACAAAAGUGCAGACAGCAUCAAAACAGAAGAGACUGAACAUGCUAAGCCUAAAGAAGCGGAAAAGACACAAGAAGUUUCAAAAGAAGAAAAAUCACAACCCCAAAAGUCACAAAUACAAGAGGACAGCAAAAGUGCAGACAGCAUCAAAACAGAAGAGACUGAACAUGCUAAGCCUAAAGAAGCAGAAAAGACACAAGAAGUUUCAAAAGAAGAAAAAUCACAACCCCAAAAGUCACAAAUACAAGAGGACAGCAAAAGUGCAGACAGCAUCAAAACAAACGAGACUGAACAUGCUAAGCCUAAAGAAGCGGAAAAGACACAAGAACUUUCCAAAGAAGAAAAAUCACAACCCCAAAAGUCACAGAUACAAGAAGACCACAAAAGUGACAGCGUAAACAGUGUCAAAACAGAAAAUGUUGAACGUGCUAAGACUAAAGAAACAGAAAAGACACAAGAGGACCUUUCAAAAGUUGGGAAAGAAAAAUCACAACAUGAAAAGUCACAGAAAACGGACGACCAAAAAAGUGACAGUGUAGACAGUGUUAAAACAGAAAAGGUUGAACAUGCUAAGACUAAAGAAGCAGCAAUGACACAAGAAGAACCUUUCAAAGUUGCAGAAGAAAAAUCACAACCUGAAAAGUCUCAGAUACAGGAAGCCCGCAAAAGUGACAGUGUAGACGGCAUCAAAACAGAAAAGGUUGAACAUGCAAAGCCUAAAGAAACUGAAAAGACACAGGAGGACCGCUCCAAAGUUGAGGAGGUAAAAUCAUCUGAGAAGUCAAAGAAACAGGAGGACAGCAAAAGCGAUAGCAGAGCUGAAAGUGUGACAACAAGCGGAGGGGAAGCUGAAGUCACAGAGAAACAGGUUGAUGAAACCCCGAGUAAUCAACCCCCAAAAGCCCAGGAAACAACAUCUGAUGCAAAGCAUGAGCAAAAGGAUACUAAAGAAAGCAAAGAGAUGCCAGAAAAAGCUGAAGAGGUGGAGAGUGUGGUGACCAAAGGCAGUGAAACCAGCAAAGAUGUUAAAAGUCAAGAAACUGUCCAAAAAGACAAAGAAUCAGACAGUGGUGCACAUGAAGUGAUGGCUGCAAAAUCUGAGACGUCAACCAAAACAGAAGCUAAAGCUCUGGAGAAGACAGAGCAGGUCAAGGACAGCAGCAUGGAGGACAACAUGGACACCAAAGGUCCAGAAGAAACAACUAAACCCUCUAGUGUAAAGUAG